rnacentral:rRNA from 1 species
CAGUCGUACCGGCGGAUAAUCAGCCUUUCGGGUGCGAUUCUGUGGGGCGUGAGGAGCUUAACCGCCUUCAUGUUUUGCAUAUUCGUGCACAUUUGGUGUACUUGUCCGUGUGGUGGGUUAACAUCAAUUUCGGCCGUCAUAAAAUGACUGGAGGAAUGUAGCUUUGGUCUCGUAUCGAAGUGUUAUAGACUCUGGUAGAUGUGACGAUUGGGGAUUGGAGGAUUGGCAACGGAUACCCUUCGGGGCUACUCGUCUGAUCUCUGAGGGUUGCUCCGGUGCCGAAGCGUGCUUACGGUUAUCGAAAGUGA